rnacentral:lncRNA from 1 species
AUUGGUUAUGGUUGUGGUUAUGAACUUGAAACCCAUGAUAUAUAUGUGUAUAUAGGUAUGUUGUAUGAUGGGUUUGGUUUGUAGAAGAAGUGGAUUUAUCUGUUAGAAAAGAAACAAGUUAUGUAGGUGGGAAUCCAAGUGUUACAAAAAGGAUUUUUGAGAAUAUGGCAAGGACCAAUCCAUUGGACCUGGGUGUUUCCUCCAAGCCAAUCGAUUGGUCACACACUCAAAGCUUGAAAAUGUGAAAUUUUACUGAGAACCAAUUGAUUGACA